rnacentral:lncRNA from 1 species
GAUCAAAAUCCCUCCUGAGAUGUGUGCAAACCUGGUGACCAACUCCAAAAAACGUCUUACCUCUGUGCUUGCCAACAAGGGUUUCUGCACCAAGUAUUAAGUAACAUUUUGCUUGGGGAUCAAAUACUUAUUUCACUCACCGAAAUGCAAAUCAAUUUCUAACCUUUACAUAAUGUGUUUUUUUUCUGGAUUUUCUGGUUGGUAUUCUGUCAAAUAAACCUAUCAUAAAAAUUACAGACCAUUAAUUUCAUUGGGCAAACUUACAAAAUCAGCAGAGGAUCAAAUAAAUAUUUCCCCCACUGUAUGACACUAUUAAAUCUGCCCUUAAAACAACAUUAAUAGGAAAUCAAAACAAACUGGUAAAGAUCGGUUUUGAAACUUGGUCAAAACUGGACCUUAAAAGAUCUUGGCUUUAAAGUCAACACAAAAUGGCAUUUGACCUAUUUUACUUGGGUAACAUAAUAGAAACAGUAUAUUCAAAUGCAAAAAAGUGCAGGGUGGGGGUUUGUUUUAUCUAUUGGGAACUGACUGGAUCAUGGAAAGUUUCUACUUUUGAGAAAACUUUUUGUCAAAGCAUCUCAAAAUAUCCUAAUGGCAGUGUUGUUUUUUAUGUUUUUGUUUUUUUAAAUCUUGUGUUAUUUGCUAUUAUAGGAAUUCUUUGGAAAUGCACAAAAGAAUCAUUCACAAUACUUUAAACAUCUAUCAAGGAAGUAAACAUAUUCAAUUCGUAUUUCAUGUUGACUUAAGCUGAGUAGUGAAGGACUUACCAGUACAUCAAAUAAUUAACAACCUAUCUAAUAUUAAAGCCACAAAGCGCUGGGUUGAACAUCUUAUUUGUGCCAAAACCAGAAACUACAAUAAAAAACUAUUGGUUAAAACAUGUCUACAUUUAUGCUUUGUGUUGAAGCAAUAACUUGGCAUGCUUAAAGCAACCCAUUGUCACAAGGGAGCAUGUGUUUAUAUUUUCCACAGCACUUGAUCAGCUGAUUGGAGUGAGUUUGUGUGUCACUGAGUAUUUGAGAUGCGGACAAACUAGGCCACCAGUGCAACUGAUCCUUGUCGUCAAUAGCAACAGACGAAAUGUAAACACUGUGACUGUGAACAGAGCUGUGCAGAUCUGCUUUUACAGUGUUUUGCAGUACUGACUUGCAGAGGAUGAUAAUUUGUUGGUAAUUUGAGAAGGAGGGGACAGAUAUACCCUCAGGCCCACAGUAUGAGAGGAAAACAGCCAAGACAGUAAAGUGUCUGACAGCAAAUGUGUGACAGGGAUACUGAGGGAUCACAACCUGUGUUCAGUGACAGGACAGAUUUAGAGGGUUAUAUUUACAACAAAAAACUCAGCAUAAUCCUUCACUGAAUAUCAGGACGGGAUAAGGUUCAUCAUGAUAAUAUGAAAAUAUACUGUAACUUCAACACCUCAAAACAUCCUUCCAUAAAACAUAGCUCAUUUCAAACUUUUGAUGACAGGCCCAUUUAAAUAAGAUGCAGAUUAUUGGUGUCAGAUGCUAAUAUCAUAACACUUUGUCCAAACAUCAUAGCAAUAACAUGGUACUGCUUUGUUCUUUUCUAAAGAGGAAUUGAGAUUUUUGCUGUAAACAUUUCUGCUGGAAUUUAGAUUUUUGCUGCAACACUCAACCACAUGCAUUCUCCUAAAUGAUCCAAGUCUUCAUCUGUGAUAAAAGCUUAUUGAUUGAUGAAACCAGAUAUUAAUGUUACCACAAAGAAAUAGAUUUCUGCAGUAGAGUAGGAGCCAAUUAAUUGUAACAGCACUUAUGUAAUGUAUUCCAAUAUGGGUCACCAAUCAUCAGAGAAAUCGAGUGUGAAAAAAACAAUAUGAUACAGGGUGUUACACAACUUGCCUUCUCAUGCAUCUGUCCUCGUCGUCAUUCAAAGAUAACCCAUAACUCCACCUCUGCAUGCAUCCAAGAAUUCCCAGCCCAUGAGAAAAAAAAAAAAAAAACUAGUCCCAUCUAGUUCAGUUGUCCAGAGUAGCUUUACGCUUAGAGACAUCAUAAUUAAUACUGUAGUAGUAAAGUAUGAGCGUGUUAUUAUCUAAUCCAGCAGGUCUAAGCCAAUAUUUUAAAUUCACAAGAUCUCAUCACAGAUGAAUUUCAGGAUGCCUCAAAGACAACCUCACACUUUCUCUUAAUAUGCUCCCCCCGUCUGUUUCACGCCAGCUUAUUUCAAAUGACAGCACCAGAGGCGCAGCAGACGGUGGAAAAUCUCAUCGUAAACCAAAGAUGUUUACCAAAAAGCGCUCACUGAGCUGAAAAAUGAACAUUAAACUGAUUCUCUGCACAGCUUUUCAAAAUGCUGCUUUAUUUAAAUGCAGAUGACAUGUUCAGAUGAUAAUGAAGGGUUUGCCAUGUUUUUCAGGUUAGUAAAAGGUCGAGAGCUUUUAAGGACCCCUGAAAGCAAAUUUGAAAAGUGUUUUAGUGGCGUUUAAUCCAUUUCAGUUAGAUUUAAUAUCAUAUAUAUAUGCUUAUGUAGUCCUAAAAGUUAACGAAUACAUUUUUAGCAGAUAUAUGCAUGCUAAAUGUGCAGUCUUUUCCCAAAAUUGGACAAAAAG